UUUAGCCAGAUUCACUGGUUCCUUUAUGGAAUAUGGAUAUGGGAACCAGUGACUCAUUGGUUAAA